AUGACCUUUCACUCCCUUUGGACGCGCGCCCUCUUGCGGUGGACGGUGAGUUUGCACGUCUCCGUCCGUUCAUGUGAGCCACGAGCCGAGUUUUGUCGCGAUCCUUCUGUGAUCUCUAUCCCUGUAACCCUUGUCUCUCCUGGUUCUGUUUUUACCGGCCAACCAAAUCAGGAUAUUUCUUCAACUUGGCAAACUUUCUGCAACAAGCAAACCCAUCGACUCCUUAUGUCAGGCCUCCCUCCUCAAUGUCGCCCAUACAUUGUGCUCCUCCUUGUGAAGGAUGCCAGCAGGCCUGCUCGCCCCAUAUCACCUUGACCUUCAUCCAAUGGUUCUCUUAGCUGUUGCCCUUGGUAUCACCCUGUCUGACAUCAGUGUUUCUUUGUGGGUCAAGACGUGGUCUGGAUCUCCCCGAAUCCUGGUAUGUGCCUUUUUGCCCACAGAAUGUCAACUCAUCCCCCUGGGCUUAUCUCCUGUUGAAUGACUCAUCUGAGGGUGGAGUGGGGAGGCCAGCCAUGCCUAAAAAAAUGUGCCCCGUGGAUCCUGGGGAUUUAGUUACUCUGGACUUCGCAUCCGAUUUUACUGUUUCCACCAAUGUAAUUGGAGAGAUGAGAAUAAAGCUACUUGCUGGCAUUUUCUCA
rnacentral:lncRNA from 1 species